rnacentral:rRNA from 1 species
CAAUAGCGUAUAUUUAAGUUGUUGCAGUUAAAAAGCUCGUAGUUGAAUUUCUGGCCGGUCGCUUUCUCGGCAGUAGUCGGUCUGAGGCCUGGUCAUCCGUAGGGGAAACACGUGCGGCCUUCAGUGGUCGGCGUGCGGAACCUACAAUUUACUGUGAAAAAAUUGGAGUGCUCCAGGCAGGCAAUCGCUUGGAUACUCCAGCAUGGAAUAAUGGAAUAGGACUUUGGACUAUUUGUUGGUGUCAAAUCCAGAGUAAUGAUUAAUAGGGACAGUUGGGGGCAUUCGUAUUUAAUUGUCAGAGGUGAAAUUCUUGGAUUUAUUAAAGACGAACUUAUGCGAAAGCAUUUGCCAAGGAUGUUUUCAUUA